AGCUGCAAAUAUAUUGUUGGAUGAGGAGUUUGAGGCUGUUGUUGGUGAUUUUGGGUUGGCUAAACUAAUGGACUACAAAGAUACCCAUGUUACAACUGCUGUACGUGGGACCAUCGGACAUAUUGCUCCAGAGUAUCUCUCUACUGGAAAGUCAUCAGAGAAGACUGAUGUUUUUGGUUAUGGCAUCAUGCUUUUAGAGCUGAUCACAGGGCAGAGAGCUUUUGAUCUUGCAAGGCUUGCAAAUGAUGAUGAUGUUAUGCUGCUUGAUUGGGUAAUGCACUGACCACCUUCCUACAUUUUAUUUCUCUGAAGCUUUAUUAUCUGCUUGUUACUGCAUGAAGCUAAUGAAGUUAUUUAUUUAUUUAUUUUUAUCUAAGUAUCAUUUGACUGUUCCAUUUUAUACAAUGAUAAUAUUAUUGUUUAAUGCAUGGAUUCUGUAUACUUGUCUUGUUUUAUACACAAAUGGAUUUAUGAUGGCUUUGGUCUGUUAUAACAGUGACCUUUCCUCUUUCUUACUGUUCCUUUUGACUUCUCUUGUUUCAGCCAAACACUGAUAAAAUUUGAAUUUUUGAAAAAUUAUCAUCAGUAAUAAGUGAUUGUUGUUUUUUCCUUUGAUUGUUCAGCCGUGUUUUUGCUUCUCUUUGUGCUUUAAUUUGGCCAAUCUCGUUUUGGUCUGAUCAGGAAUUGUAGUGACAUAUAAAGGCAAAGCUAAAGGCAUGACUACGUAUGUGAUUUGUAACUGUUGGAUCAUAUAAUUUUAUCAUCUUAAUUGGAUCAUUGAAUAGCUGUUGGUUCCAUUGCCAUAACUGAUGAUUUAGGGAAUUAGGAUUGAUUUGGUAAAUUGCUUAUGAAAUCCCUAUAAUUUUGAGGUCUAGUAUUCGUUCUUCUCAGUGAUGAUAGUUCGCAGUUUUGAACUGUCCCAUACACUGUGAUUUGUUUACAUAUAUACACAUAAACAACGUACUUAAAUAGUUCAGUGGUCAUGGGGUGCCCACAUGGGCAUAAACUAUAGCUAACCUUCUUAGUAACCUACUUCAAGUCUUGAUUUCUUUUUUGUUUGUAUCAUUAAGAUUCAUGCCUGUAGUAGCAUACAGCCUAUGCUUCAUAGCUGGCAAGAAGCAGAGAAUUAGUGAUUGCCUAUGCCACUCUCAUUUUAGUAAUGCCUCAUCUCUAAGGAUUUUUCCAUCCUUCCUCCAGAUCUGAGGUUUUUCACGUAAUUAACUAUUCUGCAAGUUUUGCAGGUUAAAGCCCUUCUGAAAGAGAAGAAGUUGGAGAUGCUGGUUGAUCCAGACCUGCAGAAAAAUUAUGUUGACACUGAGGUAGAGCAGCUAAUACAAGUAGCAUUGCUAUGCACCCAAAGCUCCCCGAUGGAGCGGCCUAAGAUGUCGGAGGUUGUGAGAAUGCUUGAAGGUGAUGGACUAGCAGAAAAAUGGGAGGAGUGGCAAAAGGUAGAAGUGGUCCGACAACAGGUUGAUUUAGCCCCAUCCCGGAGCUCCGAAUGGAUCCUUGACUCGACUGAGAACCUCCAUGCCGUAGAAUUGUCUGGUCCGAGAUGAUGCUACUUUAUAGUAGAUAUCAAAAAGAAAAAGAAAAAAAAAUUUCGUUUACUCUUUUUCAUCUUUGAAUAUCAUUUCUUUUUUUCCUGCACACUUUGUUGUCAGCUAAUGCCAAUGUAGUGCCUGUUGGAACGUAAAUUACAAUUUUUGUAUAUCAAUAUACCUCCUACUAGCUGUUGCCCUAUGCUUUUUCUUAAUUUUGUAGUAUUGACAUGGUUCUUCAGACUUCAAUAGCAAAAAAUUUGUACGAUGACCAAUGAAAAUCUACCCUGUGCAUCGGGGGGUUCAUGUUCUUUUUUCUUGUAUUUAAAGACGAGUUUUGUUGGAUUGCAUAAAGGAAAAGGGCAAGG
rnacentral:misc_RNA from 1 species